GAAAAAAAAUUUCUGGAUCCGCGCAUGAUCUGCAUGUACAUGUCUGAUGCUGCUUUAUCACUCAUGUCUUUGAAAUGAAUGCAUGUGAACAUGUGUGAAGAAAAGCCUUGCUACUGUGCGUGUUUAUUGGUUUAAACUAUGCAUAAAUAAAGUUGUUUCAUUAACAGAAGCCACGUGUCUUCUUAAAAUUAAUUCGAUAACGAAUCCGGAAUUAAUACGAAAUCGGUUUUAGUUUUGUCGAUGACAAAAUAUACGUCACAUUUUUACGUCACGGAGGCAGAAGAUCGAACUGCAGGAUGGAUAUAGCAGAGGCAUGCAUUGGCUGCUUGACAUAUCCCUGGAAGAGGACACCAACUAGCUAACACAGUCAAUGACAGAUGUUUCUUUGAAUUGAUAAAAUCAUAAUCAAAUGGAUAUAAUACUGAAGUUUCAAAGAUCUGUUUUGAUGUAGCCUGAAGAUUUUGUAAUGAAUGAUCCAGGAUCCAAAAGUUCUUCGCGGAGUUCAAAGACAGUUGCAAUGUGGUUGCUAAUUUAGUGACAGAUUAAGAAAGAAGUUCAAACAAGCAUUGUCAUGGGAAAACAUUAAAAAGGAAGAAGUUGGAGGUGGACAAAAAUCAGGAUGAAUAUACAUGUACUGGAGAAACUAUUAAAGCACAGAAGAAUGACAACAAUAUAAAUCUAAAUGUAAUCAUUCAAGGAAUUAAAUUCAUUUUUAAUCUCGAAACUGUCUUUUUUGUGUAACUCUAAUUUUAGAUUAACAAGUAGCUGGAAAUGCAAAAUGAAUGUUUCCAAAGAUCUACUGAAGUUACUGAGUAAUUAAUUGAAAUGAUUCAAGCAGCAAGAUGAAGUAUAUCAAGAAUGAACUGAAAAAUUAAAAAUAUUCAAGUAAUUUAAUUUUAAGCAAUUUACAUGCGAUAUGUAUGUAAUUCAUGUGAAAAACGUACGUUGG